rnacentral:rRNA from 1 species
GAUGAACGCUGGCGGCGUGCCUAAUACAUGCAAGUCGAGCGAACAGACGAGGAGCUUGCUCCUCUGACGUUAGCGGCGGACGGGUGAGUAACACGUGGAUAACCUACCUAUAAGACUGGGAUAACUUCGGGAAACCGGAGCUAAAACCGGAUCAUAUAUUGAACCGCAUGGUCCAAUAGUGAAAGACGCUUUUGCUGUCACUUAUAGAUGGAUCCGCGCCGCAUUAGCUAGUUGGUAAGGUAACGGCUUACCAAGGCAACGAUGCGUAGCCGACCUGAGAGGGUGACAGAGCACACGGGAACUGAGACUCGCUCCAGACUACUGCGGGAGGCAGCGGUAGGGAAUCGUGCGCAAUGCGCGAAAGCCUGACGGUGGAACGCCGCGUGAGGCAGGAAGGUCCUCGGAUCGUAAAACACUCUCAGCCGGGAAGAACAAAUGUGUAAGUGCCUAUGCACGUGUUGACGGUCCCUAAUCAGAAAGCUACGGCUACCUAGGUG